rnacentral:rRNA from 1 species
UACAGAGGUCCCAAGCGUUGUUCGGAUUCACUGGGCGUAAAGGGUGCGUAGGUGGCCAGGUAAGUUUGGUGUGAAAGCUCGGAGCUUAACUCCGAAAAGUCAUUGAAUACUAUCUGGCUGGAGGGUCGGAGGGGAGACUGGAAUUCUCGGUGUAGCAGUGAAAUGCGUAGAUAUCGGGAGGAACACCAGUGGCGAAGGCGAGUCUCUGGACGACUCCUGACACUGAGGCACGAAAGCUAGGGGAGCAAACAGG